GGAUGUGGCCCAAGCAGUAGCACACUUGCCUGGCAUGCAUGUGGCCUGGGUUCGAUCCUCAGCACCA
rnacentral:tRNA from 1 species